rnacentral:rRNA from 1 species
GGUAAUGAUCAUACCAGCACUUAUGCACCAGAUCCCAUCAGAACUCCGCAGUUAAGCAUGCUUGGGCGAGAGUAGUACUAGGAUGGGUGACCCCCUGGGAAGUCCUCGUGUUGCACCUC